rnacentral:rRNA from 1 species
GACGAACGCUGGCGGCGUGCUUAACACAUGCAAGUCGAACGAAGAGCGAUGGAAGCUUGCUUCUCUCAAUCUUAGUGGCGAACGGGUGAGUAACGCGUAAUCAACCUGCCCUUCAGAGGGGGACAACAGUUGGAAACGACUGCUAAUACCGCAUACGAUCUAAUCUCGGCAUCGAGGAUAGAUGAAAGGUGGCCGCUACAUGUAAGCUAUCACUGAAGGAGGGGAUUGCGUCUGAUUAGCUAGUUGGAGGGGUAACGGCCCACCAAGGCGAGGAUCAGUAGCCGGUCUGAGAGGAUGAACGGCCACAUUGGGACGGAGACACGGCCCAGACUCCUACGGGAGGCAGCAGUGGGGAAUCUUCCGCAAUGGACGAAAGUCUGACGGAGCAACGCCGCGUGAGUGAUGACGGCCUUCGGGUUGUAAAGCUCUGUUAAUCGGGACGAAAGGCCUUCUUGCGAAUAGUGAGAAGGAUUGACGGUACCGGAAUAGAAAGCCACGGCUAACUACGUG